UGCAUCCUGUUACAGGAAAAAGCUCCUGCUUCCUGAAACAACAGGAGGCAGACAGGAAAUAGGGAGAAUCUUGGAGUUUUUAGAUUUAUGGGAAAGACAGCUACCUUCGAGAUAUGCUAUU